rnacentral:rRNA from 1 species
AUACGAAGGGGGCUAGCGUUGUUCGGAAUUACUGGGCGUAAAGCGCACGUAGGCGGAUAUUUAAGUCAGGGGUGAAAUCCCAGAGCUCAACUCUGGAACUGCCUUUGAUACUGGGUAUCUUGAGUAUGGAAGAGGUAAGUGGAAUUCCGAGUGUAGAGGUGAAAUUCGUAGAUAUUAGGAGGAACACCAGUGGCGAAGGCGGCUUACUGGUCCAUUACUGACGCUGAGGUGCGAAAGCGUGGGGAGCAAACAGGAUUAGAAACCCUAGUAGUCC